CAGAGCUAGCAGCCACUAAAGGAGAAGAAACAACCACAAGACAGGACAGGGAGGCUGACAGUCUAAAGGAUCACAUCACUUUUCUGGAGUUACCCAGAUGAUGUCACACAAGUGAUCCUUUUCAUUAAACUUAAAACACAGUCCCAGCAUCAGAAACUACAAAGUUCACACAGCAAUGCUCAUCGGCACAGCAUGUCAGAACCAGAGAUGGCUGGGCUACCCUGAUCCCGGGUUAUGAGACCUGACUGGACUGGAACUCUGUCAACCAGCCUUUAACUUCUGUGCCUCCUGAAUGCUGGGAUUCAAGACAGGCCCCUCCAGAUACGCCAAUGCCAAUUCUAACGGUUCGGGACUAGAAGUGGAAACAGCGGUUCCUACAGACGGUUUAAGCUGUUCUCCCAGUUGCCGCACACCAGACCCUUGGGUGUUCCCAGCAGUUCCGCUUUCCCGAUUAAGCCCAACUAAUAUCAAGUAUUAAGAAGAUAGCCAGAUGGGGGCAGUGGCUUUUACCAGUAGAACCAGCACUGGGGAGACAGGAGGUUGCCAAGAGUGUCCUCACAGAAGGUGGUCUCUCCAGGAAUACCCUCCUUGCAAAUCAGUCUGGCCGACUCCUCAUCCCUCACAACUCAGCUCGAGCAAUCCCUGUGCUGUAAAACCUUCUCUAGUGACUCUGCCAUUCUGCUGAAAGGUUUCUGCACUGUAACUCUGCCUUCUCCACUUCUGUGCUCAGCAGAAUGGAAGCUGCCCCUGGAUACCCAGCGUCAACUCCUUUGCUGCAUCUGUGACAACCCUGCCUUUUUUUAAAUUUGCCUUUAGAAUAGCCACCAUAAUUACAAUAGCACAUUGAUUGGUGCGGCUACUGCUUGAAGUGAUGAUGCCUUCCACUAGGAAGCAUGUAUAUUUCUUCAUGGCUCAAUUUCUAAGGCCUUAUAAAUGUCAAACAUGAAAUAGAUAUCUAUUAAACAUUUACUAAGGAAAUGUUUUUAAAGGGUAAUCUCUGUCAAAAUUGUAAAGACAUUAUUGUGUGACUCAAUCAUCCAGAUUAAACAGUCUGUCCUGCAAAAAAAAGUACACAAUUGUACUAAGAUUGUCAUUGCAAGUAUAUUGGUUAAUGAAAUAUCUGUAUUAACAAAGGCUUAGAAAUUGCCCACAGUGUG